AUGGAGGGCCUCCUACAUUGGGACUUCUCACCCGGCCUUGCGGUCGCAGAUCAGGUGCGUAGACGGUUUGGAUCCUCUGCUCAUUUCCUCCCCGAUGGAUCUACCAAGGAAUUUUUCUUGGUUGUGUAUUUUUCGUCUGCCUCCUUCCCCUUAUCUGAAGAAUCUGUGGCCAUUGCCUUACAAUGUUGCAUCGGGGGUUUACCUUCUGGUCUUAAUGUGCAUCAUCUUGAGGGUCGGUCAUUUCGAUUCUCGGUGGCCUCUAAUCGUGUUGGACAUUUUAUCUAUGGUAUCAAAGAUCGAGUUUGGCCAGACUUCGUUUGCACUUUCAACUUUAUCGCCAUGGCCGUACUCCUCCAAGAUGUUUGGACAAUGUUUGGCAUUCCGAUGUUCACAGUCCUGAGGUAG
rnacentral:rRNA from 1 species